rnacentral:rRNA from 1 species
UGCAUAUUCCAAUAAGCGGAGGAAAAGAAACCAACAGGGAUUGCCCUAGUAACGGCGAGUGAAGCGGCAACAGCUCAAAUUUGAAAGCUAGCCUUCGGGUUCGCAUUGUAAUUUGUAGAGGAUGAUUUGGGGAAGCCGCCUGUCUAAGUUCCUUGGAACAGGACGUCAUAGAGGGUGAGAAUCCCGUAUGUGACAGGAAAUGGCACCCUAUGUAAAUCUCCUUCGACGAGUCGAGUUGUUUGGGAAUGCAGCUCUAAAUGGGAGGUAAAUUUCUUCUAAAGCUAAAUAUUGGCGAGAGACCGAUAGCGCACAAGUAGAGUGAUCGAAAGAUGAAAAGCACUUUGGAAAGAGAGUUAAAAAGCACGUGAAAUUGUUGAAAGGGAAGCGCUUGCAAUCAGACUUGUUUAAACUGUUCGGCCGGUCUUCUGACCGGUUUACUCAGUUUGGACAGGCCAGCAUCAGUUUCGGCGGCCGGAUAAAGGCUCUGGGAAUGUGGCCUCCACUUCGGUGGAGGUGUUAUAGCCCAGGGUGUAAUACGGCCAGCCGGGACUGAGGUCCGCGCUUCGGCUAGGAUGCUGGCGUAAUGGUUGUAAGCGACCCGUCUUGAACACGGACCA